rnacentral:lncRNA from 1 species
AUGAUUGAAGUGGAUUCGCGAAAACAACCGCACGGUUGCUGUGGAAACGAGAGAGCCACAGCCGAGUCUCUAAGCCCUUCCCUUCCAGGGCCCCAGCCGGGGGUGGGGAUGGAAGAGGGGAUGAGUCACAAGAUGGGACCCCCUCCGUGUCCCAUCCGAAACGGGAGGAGGGCGACGAGGAGCUGCCGAGUAGCGGAGCGGGGUUGGGGAGAGCUGGGGGGGGCGGCCCACGCCUUCCUCGCCCCCGCAGCACACCCGCCGCACGGAGCGGAGGUGGGGGCGCCCGAGCGCAGCCCUACUGGCCCCACGCUCGUCGUGGGCCCCCGACAGCCCCUAACGCCCGUCCUCUCCAGACAGGCCUUGCUUGUUGCUCACGGAGCCCCCACCCCAGGGGGGCCGCUCGGGAUCUCCUCCAGAGGGUCCCGCUGCCUGCCCCGCGGACCCUCCUUUCCCCACCCUCCCACCUUCCCGUCCCGCAGACGGAGCCGGUCCCCAGCCGCCGCCAGUCUCCAGUCUCCGGCCUCGGAUGUUGACACAAGCCCGAGGCGGUUUACACUGAGAACUGUCCCAUUCCCUCUGGAACCUGUUUUGCGGUGGCGUUCUCCCGGCUGCAGGCUGUCUCCUCUCUGGAGCCCUCACAGGAUGACAGCAGUACCUGGGCCUCCAGUUAGCUGGCACCUCCCUGGCCCCUUGGCUGAUGAUUCACAGGAACAGGUCUCCUACUUAUGUCUCCCAUUGGCCAAACCCAACUGGAAGUCAGAGGGCAAAGAAGCCCAACUGAUGCAGUCCCCAGCAACCUCCUAGAGUGGCACCCAGAGGGUAGAGAGUGGAGAAAAGCAGAACACAAACCUAAUAGGACUAGAUAAUAUCUGUAUCCAUACCUAUCUAUAUAUACAUGUUACAUAUUUGUAUGUAAAAUAUCUAUAUAUCAAUCCAGGUGCAUAGGCUUUCAAGUUAGAUAGCUCUUGAACAAGUGUCUUAAUCGCUCUGCAAUUCAGUUUCCCAGUCUGUAAAUGGGAAUAAUAAAAAGAAGUACUUAUUGUGUGAGGCUCCA